rnacentral:rRNA from 1 species
UACGUAGGGGGCGAGCGUUAUCCGGAAUUACUGGGCGUAAAGCGCACGCAGGCGGUUCGCCAAGUUUGGAGUGACAGUUGUCGGCUCAACCGACAAAGGACUUCAAAAACUGGUGAACUUGAGGACGAGAGAGGAACAUGGAACUCCAGGUGUAGUAGUGAAAUGCGUAGAUAUCUGGAAGAACACCAACGGCGAAAGCACUCUGCUGGGCCGACACUGACACUGAGAGACGAAAGCUAGGGGAGCGAAUGGG